UCAAACUUGAGAGUUUGAUCCUGGCUCAGAACGAACGCUGGCGGCAUGCUUAACACAUGCAAGUCGAACGAAGGCCCGGAGCUUGCUCCGGAUCCCUUAGUGGCGAACGGGUGAGUAACGCGUGGGAAUCUACCUAAGAAUGGGGAAUAACUGUUGGAAACGACAGCUAAUACCGCAUAAUCCCUUCGGGGCAAAGGCUUCGGCCGUUUUUAGAUGAGCCCGCG
rnacentral:rRNA from 1 species